AUUGAACGCUGGCGGCAGGCCUAACACAUGCAAGUCGAGCGGAUGAAGGGAGCUUGCUCCUGGAUUCAGCGGCGGACGGGUGAGUAAUGCCUAGGAAUCUGCUUGGUAGUGGGGGAUAACGUCCGGAAACGGGCGCUAAUACUGCAUACGUCCUGAGGGAGAAAGUGGGGGAUCUUCGGACCUUACGCUAUCAGAUGAGCCUAGGUCGGAUUAGCUAGUUGGUGGGGUAAGGGCCUACCAAGGCGACGAUUCGUAACUGGUCUGAGAGGAUGAUCAGUCACACUGGAACUGAGACACGGUCCAGGCUCCUACGGGAGGCAGCAGUGGGGAAUAUGGGACAGUGGGCGAAAGCCUGAUCCAGCCAUGCCGCGUGUGUGAAGAAGGUCUUCGGAUUGUAAAGCACUUUAAGUUGGGGGGAAGGGCAGUAAGUUAAUACCUUGCUGUUUUGACGUUACCAACAGAAUAAGCACCGGCUAACUUCGUG
rnacentral:rRNA from 1 species